rnacentral:rRNA from 1 species
UAACAAGGAUUCCCCUAGUAACUGCGAGUGAAGCGGGAAAAGCUCAAAUUUAAAAUCUGACAGUCUUUGAUUGUCCGAGUUGUAGUCUAGAGAAGUGUCUUCUGUGCUGGACCGUGUACAAGUCCCUUGGAACAGGGCGUCAUAGAGGGUGAGAAUCCCGUCUUUGACACGGACUACCAGUGCUUUGUGAUGCACUCUCAAAGAGUCGAGUUGUUUGGGAAUGCAGCUCAAAAUGGGUGGUAAAUUCCAUCUAAAGCUAAAUAUUGGCGAGAGACCGAUAGCGAACAAGUACCGUGAGGGAAAGAUGAAAAGCACUUUGGAAAGAGAGUUAAACAGUACGUGAAAUUGCUGAAAGGGAAACGCUUGAAGUCAGUCGCGUUGGUCAGAACUCAGCCUUGCCUUUUGGCUUGGUGUACUUUCUGAUUGACGGGUCAGUGUCAGUUUUGAUUGCAGGAGAAAGGUCAGAGGAAUGUGGCAUCUUCGGGUGUGUUAUAGCCUUUGACUGUAUACUGUGAUUGGGACUGAGGAACUCAGCACGCGCAAGCUGUGCUUAGGAUGCUGGCGUAAUGGCUUUAAGCGAC